ensembl:lncRNA
GAGCCCCAUAGAGCUCCAUAGAGCCCCAUGGUCAUCGAGUAUGUGGGGCAGAACAUCCGACAGGUCAGCCCCACCGCGCCCCAUAGCGCCCCAUAGCGCCCCAUAGAGCCCCAUAGAGCUCCAUAGAGCUCCAUAGAGCCCCAUAGAGCUCCAUAGAGCCCCAUGGUCAUCGAGUAUGUGGGGCAGAACAUCCGACAGGUCAGCCCCACCGCGCCCCAUAGCGCCCGAUAGAGCCCCAUAGAGCCCCAUGGUCAUCGAGUAUGUGGGGCAGAACAUCCGACAGGUCAGCCCCACCGCGCCCCAUAGCGCCCCAUAGCGCCCCAUAGAGCUCCAUAGAGCCCCAUGGUCAUCGAGUAUGUGGGGCAGAACAUCCGACAGGUCAGCCCCACCGCGCCCCAUAGCGCCCCAUAGAGCCCC